rnacentral:rRNA from 1 species
AGUGAACGCUGGCGGUAGGCCUAACACAUGCAAGUCGAACGGCAGCACAGUAAGAGCUUGCUCUUACGGGUGGCGAGUGGCGGACGGGUGAUGAAUACAUCGGAAUCUACUUUUUCGUGGGGGAUAACGUAGGGAAACUUACGCUAAUACCGCAUACGACCUACGGGUGAAAGCAGGGGAUCUUCGGACCUCGCGCGAUUGUAUGAGCCGAUGUCGGAUUAGCUAGUUGGCGGGGUAAAGGCCCACCAAGGCGACGAUCCGUAGCUGGUCUGAGAGGAUGAUCAGCCACACUGGAACUGAGACACGGUCCAGACUCCUACGGGAGGCAGCAGUGGGGAAUAUUGGACAAUGGGCGCAAGCCUGAUCCAGCCAUGCCGCGUGGGUGAAGAAGGCCUUCGGGUUGUAAAGCCCUUUUGUUGGGAAAGAAAGGCAGCAGGUUAAUACCUCGCUGUUCUGACGGUACCCAAAGAAUAAGCACCGGCUAACUUCGUG